AACGAACGCUGGCGGCAGGCCUAACACAUGCAAGUCGAGCGCGCCUUCGGGUGAGCGGCGGACGGGUUAGUAACGCGUGGGAACGUACCCUUUUCUACGGAAUAGCCUUUGGAAACGAAGAGUAAUACCGUAUACGCCCUUUGGGGGAAAGAUUUAUCGGAGAAGGAUCGGCCCGCGUUAGAUUAGAUAGUUGGUGGGGUAACGGCCUACCAAGUCUACGAUCUAUAGCUGGUUUUAGAGGAUGAUCAGCAACACUGGGACUGAGACACGGCCCAGACUCCUACGGGAGGCAGCAGUGGGGAAUCUUAGACAAUGGGCGCAAGCCUGAUCUAGCCAUGCCGCGUGAGUGAUGAAGGCCUUAGGGUCGUAAAGCUCUUUCGCCUGUGAUGAUAAUGACAGUAGCAGGUAAAGAAACCCCGGCUAACUCCGUGCCAGCAGCCGCGGUAAUACGGAGGGGGUUAGCGUUGUUCGGAAUUACUGGGCGUAAAGCGCACGUAGGCGGAUUGGAAAGUUGGGGGUGAAAUCCCGGGGCUCAACCCCGGAACUGCCUCCAAAACUAUCAGUCUAGAGUUCGAGAGAGGUGAGUGGAAUUCCAAGUGUAGAGGUGAAAUUCGUAGAUAUUUGGAGGAACACCAGUGGCGAAGGCGGCUCACUGGCUCCGAUACUGA
rnacentral:rRNA from 1 species